rnacentral:sRNA from 1 species
CUCUGAUGGCAUUCUGAGCUGGCAGCCCAUGGGGACCUGGUGCAGAGCGCCGUCUGGAGCCGAGAUGGAGCCCUGGUGGGCACGGCGUGCAAGGACAAGCAGCUGCGGAUCUUUGACCCCAGAACAAAGCCGCGGGCCUCUCAGAGCACGCAGGCCCAUGAGAACAGCAGGGAUAGCCGGCUGGCAUGGAUGGGCACCUGGGAGCACCUUGUGUCUACUGGAUUCAACCAGAUGCGUGAGCGCGAAGUGAAGCUGUGGGACACGCGGUUCUUCUCCAGCGCCCUGGCCUCCCUCACCUUGGACACCUCGCUUGGGUGUCUCAUGCCUCUGCUGGACCCUGACUCUGGGCUCCUGGUCCUGGCAGGAAAGGGCGAGAGGCAGCUGUACUGUUACGAGGUGGUCCCGCAGCAGCCGGCGCUGAGCCCAGUGACCCAGUGUGUCCUGGAGAGCGUGCUGCGGGGGGCUGCCCUUGUGCCCCGGCAGGCGCUGGCCGUCAUGAGCUGCGAGGUGCUCCGCGUCCUACAGCUGAGCGACACAGCCAUCGUGCCCAUCGGCUACCAUGUGCCCCGCAAGGCUGUGGAGUUCCACGAGGACCUGUUCCCGGACACUGCCGGCUGUGUGCCUGCCACUGACCCCCAUAGCUGGUGGGCUGGGGACAACCAGCAGGUGCAGAAAGUCAGCCUCAACCCUGCCUGCCGGCCCCACCCGAGCUUCACUUCCUGUCUGGUGCCCCCUACGGAGCCCCUCCCUGACACAGCCCAGCCUGCGGUGAUGGAGACACCCGUGGGUGAUGCAGACGCAAGCGAGGGUUUCUCUUCCCCUCCCAGUUCGCUGACCUCGCCCUCCACGCCCUCCAGCCUGGGGCCCUCACUCUCCAGCACCAGUGGCAUCGGGACCAGCCCCAGUUUGAGGUCGCUGCAGAGCCUGCUGGGCCCCAGUUCCAAGUUCCGCCAUGCUCAGGGCACUGUCCUGCACCGAGACAGCCAUAUCACCAACCUCAAGGGGCUCAACCUCACCACACCUGGUGAGAGUGACGGCUUCUGUGCCAACAAGCUGCGUGUGGCUGUGCCGCUGCUCAGCAGUGGGGGACAGGUGGCUGUGCUUGAGCUACGGAAGCCUGGCCGCCUGCCCGACACGGCACUGCCCACGCUGCAGAAUGGGGCAGCUGUGACUGAUCUGGCCUGGGACCCCUUUGACCCCCAUCGCCUCGCUGUGGCUGGUGAGGACGCCAGGAUCCGACUGUGGCGGGUACCCGCAGAGGGCCUGGAAGAGGUGCUCACCACGCCAGAGACUGUGCUCACAGGUCAGGCAGGCUCAGGAAUGGGGCUGGGGUGGCCAGUGUCUCCCAAGGGCUCCUGAUCACCCCUGCCUUCCUCCAGGCCACACGGAGAAGAUCUGUUCCCUGCGCUUCCACCCACUGGCAGCCGAUGUGCUGGCCUCGUCCUCCUAUGACCUCACUGUUCGCAUCUGGGACCUUCAGGCUGGAGCUGAUCGGCUGAAGCUGCAGGGCCACCAAGACCAGAUCUUCAGCCUGGCCUGGAGUCCUGAUGGGCAGCAGCUGGCCACUGUCUGCAAGGAUGGGCGUGUGCGGGUCUACAGGCCCCGGAGUGGCCCUGAGCCCCUGCAGGUGAGCACACAGGGGCUGGGGAGUGGCCUCAGACCUGGUUCAGGGGUGCUGGCUGGGUGUCACGCGAUGUAUCUCAACAGGAAGGCCCAGGGCCCAAGGGAGGACGCGGAGCUCGCAUUGUCUGGGUAUGUGAUGGUCGCUGUCUGCUGGUGUCCGGCUUUGACAGCCAAAGUGAGCGCCAGCUGCUCCUAUAUGAAGCUGAGGCCCUGGCCGGCGGACCCUUGGCAGUGUUGGGCCUGGACGUGGCUCCCUCAACCCUGCUGCCCAGCUACGACCCAGACACUGGCCUGGUGCUCCUGACCGGCAAGGGCGACACCCGUGUAUUCCUGUACGAGCUGCUCCCCGAGUCCCCUUUCUUCCUGGAGUGCAACAGCUUCACGUCGCCCGACCCCCACAAGGGCCUCGUCCUCCUGCCUAAGACGGAGUGCGACGUGCGGGAAGUGGAGCUGAUGCGGUGCCUGCGGCUGCGCCAGUCCUCCCUGGAGCCUGUGGCCUUCCGGCUGCCCCGAGUCCGGGUGAGGGUGGGGACCUGGGACUCCCAUGCCCACCGCCUUCUCGGUGCCUAGAGGGGAGUUUGGGUCCCGUCUGACCCAGCUUCCAAACUUCCCUACCCAUUGUUCAUGGGGACACCUACCCCCUUCUGCUGAGAUGCUGAAACUCAUGGAAGCCCCAGGCUGGUGGGAGGGUCCCAGGUCUUGCCCUGUCCCUCCCCAACAGAUGCCCGUGUGCCCUGGGCACCUGGUCAAUGUCUCAGGACAGCCCGUUUCUCCCUCUGCAGAAAGAGUUCUUCCAGGAUGACGUGUUCCCAGACACGGCUGUGAGCUGGGAGCCUGUGCUCAGUGCCGAGGCCUGGCUGCAAGGCGCUAAUGGGCAGCCCUGGCUUCUCAGCCUGCAGCCUCCUAACAUGAGCCCAGGUGCACCGAGGGACUGGGUGUGGGGAGGAAGCGGGAUGGGGGUUGGAGAAAAGGACAGAAGGCCCAGGUUGAAGUUCCAUUCCUGUUGGCACGCAGAAUCCUCUGGCCUUUGGGAGGGGGGAGUGGCUGUGUCAAUCAGUCUCUGAGCCAGUGGAGGGCAGGGCCCGUGGUCUGUGUUUUCAUCACAGGUCCCCACCCCUAACACACACACACACACACACACACACUCUGGUGUCUAGGGCAGGGCUUGUACAGUGAGGCUCCAUUGACUGUUAAUACCACCUCUUAGAUCUGCGCCAUAGAAAUCCCCUAGGUCGGCCAGGCGCGGUGGCUCACGCCUGUAAUCCCAGCACUUUAGGAGGCUGAGGCGAGUGGAUCACCUGAGGUCGGGGGUUUGAGACCAGCCUGGCCAACAUGGUGAAACCCCAUCUCUACUAAAAAUACAAAAUUAGCCUGGCAUGGUGGUGGGCGCCUGCAAUCCCAACUACUCCAGAGGCUGAAGCAGGAGAAUCGCUUGAACCCAGAGGAGGUGGAGGUUGCAGUCAGCCUAGGUCACAUCAUUGCACUCCAGCCUGGGCAACAAGAGCAAAACUCCAUCUC